rnacentral:rRNA from 1 species
UACGUAGGCAGCAAGCGUUGUUCGGAAUUACUGGGCGUAAAGAGUGUGUAGGCGGUGCUCUAAGUUCGGUGUGAAAUCUCCCGGCUUAACUGGGAGGGUGCGCCGGAAACUGGAGUGCUCGAGCGUGGGAGAGGAAAGCGGAAUUCCUGGUGUAGCGGUGAAAUGCGUAGAUAUCGGGAGGAACACCAGUGGCGAAGGCGGCUACCUGGCCCAUUCUUGACGCUGAGGCGCGAAAGCUAGGGGAGCAAACGGG